rnacentral:rRNA from 2 species
UACGUAGGUGGCAAGCGUUAUCCGGAUUUACUGGGUGUAAAGGGCGUGUAGGCGGGUCUGCAAGUCAGAUGUGAAAUCUCCGGGCUUAACUCGGAAGUGUCAUCUGAAACUACGGAUCUUGAGUACUGGAGAGGAUAGUGGAAUUCCUAGUGUAGCGGUAAAAUGCGUAGAUAUUAGGAGGAACACCAGUGGCGAAGGCGGCUAUCUGGACAGUAACUGACGCUGAGGCGCGAAAGCGUGGGGAGCAAACAGG